rnacentral:rRNA from 1 species
UGCAGUCGAACGGUGAAGCAGGAGCUUGCUCUUGUGGAUCAGUGGCGAACGGGUGAGUAACACGUGAGCAACCUGCCCCGAACUCUGGGAUAAGCGCUGGAAACGGCGUCUAAUACCGGAUACGCACCAGGAAGGCAUCUUCUCUGGUGGGAAAGAUUUAUUGGUUCGGGAUGGGCUCGCGGCCUAUCAGCUUGUUGGUGAGGUAAUGGCUCACCAAGGCGUCGACGGGUAGCCGGCCUGAGAGGGUGACCGGCCACACUGGGACUGAGACACGGCCCAGACUCCUACGGGAGGCAGCAGUGGGGAAUAUUGCACAAUGGGCGCAAGCCUGAUGCAGCAACGCCGCGUGAGGGAUGACGGCCUUCGGGUUGUAAACCUCUUUUAGCAGGGAAGAAGCGAAAGUGACGGUACCUGCAGAAAAAGCGCCGGCUAACUACGUGCCAGCAGCCGCGGUAAUACGUAGGGCGCAAGCGUUAUCCGGAAUUAUUGGGCGUAAAGAGCUCGUAGGCGGUCUGUCGCGUCUGCUGUGAAAACCCGAGGCUCAACCUCGGGCCUGCAGUGGGUACGGGCAGACUAGAGUGCGGUAGGGGAGAUUGGAAUUCCUGGUGUAGCGGUGGAAUGCGCAGAUAUCAGGAGGAACACCGAUGGCGAAGGCAGAUCUCUGGGGCCGUAACUGACGCUGAUGAGCGAAAAGGGUGGGGGAGCAAACA